rnacentral:rRNA from 1 species
CAGGGGGAUAACCCGGAGAAAUCCGGACUAAUACCGCGUGGUACACCAGUGGGGCAUCCCACGGGUGUUAAAAGGAAGCGAUUCCGGCGGAGGAUGGGCAUGCGGCGCAUUAGCUUGUUGGCGGGGUAACGGCCCACCAAGGCGACGAUGCGUAGGGGUUCUGAGAGGAAGGUCCCCCACACUGGUACUGAGACACGGACCAGACUCCUACGGGAGGCAGCAGUGAGGAAUAUUGGUCAAUGGGCGGGAGCCUGAACCAGCCAAGUCGCGUGAGGGAAGACGGUCCUAUGGAUUGUAAACCUCUUUAGGCGGGGAGCAAUGCCGGGCACGCGUGCCCGGAGGGAGAGUACCCGCAGAAUAAGCAUCGGCUAACUCCGUGCCAGCAGCCGCGGUAAUACGGAGGAUGCGAGCGUUAUCCGGAUUUAUUGGGUUUAAAGGGUGCGUAGGCGGAUUUUUAAGUCAGCGGUAAAAUGUCCGGGCUCAACCCGGGCCGGCCGUUGAAACUGGGGAUCUUGAGUGGGCGAGAAGUAUGCGGAAUGCGUGGUGUAGCGGUGAAAUGCAUAGAUAUCACGCAGAACUCCGAUUGCGAAGGCAGCAUACCGGCGCCCGACUGACGCUGAGGCACGAAAGCGUGGGGAUCGAACAGGAUUAGAUACCCUGGUAGUCCACGCAGUAAACGAUGAAUGCUAGUUGUCCGGUUCUUUGGGACUGGGUGACACAG